UGGGGAAUAUUGCGCAAUGGGCGAAAGCCUGACGCAGCGACGCCGCGUGAGGGAUGACGGCCUUCGGGUUGUAAACCUCUUUCAGCAGGGACGAAGCGAAAGUGACGGUACCUGCAGAAGAAGCACCGGCCAACUACGUGCCAGCAGCCGCGGUAACACGUAGGGUGCAAGCGUUGUCCGGAAUUAUUGGGCGUAAAGAGCUCGUAGGCGGCCUGUCACGUCGACUGUGAAAACCUAGGGCUCAACCCUGGGCCUGCAGUCGAUACGGGCAGGCUUGAGUAUGGUAGGGGAGACUGGAAUACCUGGUGUAGCGGUGAAAUGCGCAGAUAUCAGGUGGAACACCGGUGGCGAAGGCGGGUCUCUGGGCCAUUACUGACGCUGAGGAGCGAAAGCGUGGGGAGCGAACA
rnacentral:rRNA from 1 species